rnacentral:misc_RNA from 1 species
AAUUCUCAACUUUGAAUUCAGUUUCAAAGCUUGGAUGUGAGGGCUUGCUGGCUUCCUUCAGUGGAUGGUCUGCUCCCUUUAAAUGCAUUAGUGGGAUCCUUUGUGGACGGUCACUUGGUGUGAUAAUUAUCUACGCCUCGUACUGUGAAGCAAAACUUAUGGGAACCUGCUUAUAACCGUCUUCGGACAAUCUAUUGACC